rnacentral:rRNA from 1 species
GGGCGUAGAGGGCUCGCAGGCGGUUUCUUAAGUCUGAUGUGAAAGCCCCCGGCUCAACCGGGGAGGGUCAUUGGAAACUGGGGAACUUGAGUGCAGAAGAGGAGAGUGGAAUUCCACGUGUAGCGGUGAAAUGCGUAGAGAUGUGGAGGAACACCAGUGGCGAAGGCGACUCUCUGGUCUGUAACUGACGCUGAGGAGCGAAAGCGUGGGGAGCGAACAGGAUUAGAUACCCUGGUAGUCCACGCCGUAAACGAUGAGUGCUAAGUGUUAGGGGGUUUCCGCCCCUUAGUGCUGCAGCUAACGCAUUAAGCACUCCGCCUGGGGAGUACGGUCGCAAGACUGAAACUCAAAGGAAUUGACGGGGGCCCGCACAAGCGGUGGAGCAUGUGGUUUAAUUCGAAGCAACGCGAAGAACCUUACCAGGUCUUGACAUCCUCUGACAAUCCUAGAGAUAGGACGUCCCCUUCGGGGGCACAGUGACAGGUGGUGCAUGGGUGUCGUCAGCUCGUGUCGUGAGAUGUUGGGUUAAGUCCCGCAACGAGCGCAACCCUUGAUCUUAGUUGCCAGCAUUCAGUUGGGCACUCUAAGGUGACUGCCGGUGACAAACCGGAGGAAAGUGGGGAUGACGUCUAAUCAUCAUGCGCCUUAUGACCUGUGCUACACACGUGCUACAAUGGACAGAACACAGGGCAGCGAAACCGCGAGGUUAAGCCAAUCCCACAAAUCUGUUCUCAGUUCGGAUCGCAGUCUGCGACUCGACUGCGUGAAGCUGGAAUCGCUAGUAAUCGCG